rnacentral:rRNA from 1 species
UAAAGAGCUCGUAGGUGGUUUGUCGCGUUGUUCGUGAAAUCUCACGGCUUAACUGUGAGCGUGCGGGCGAUACGGGCAGACUAGAGUACUGUAGGGGAGACUGGAAUUCCUGGUGUAGCGGUGGAACGCGCAGAUAUCAGGAGGAACACCGGUGGCGAAGGCGGGUCUCUGGGCAGUAACUGACGCUGAGGAGCGAAAGCGCGGGGAGCGAACAGGAUUAGAUACCCUGGUAGUCCACGCCGUAAACGAUGAUAACUAGCUGUCAGGGCACAUGGUGUUUUGGUGGCGCAGCUAACGCACUAAGUUAUCCGCCUGGGGAGUACGGUCGCAAGAUUAAAACUCAAAGGAAUUGACGGGGGCCUGCACAAGCGGUGGAGCAUGUGGUUUAAUUCGAUGCAACGCGAAGAACCUUACCUGGUCUUGACAUCCACGGAAGUUUUCAGAGAUGAGAAUGUGCCUUCGGGAACCGUGAGACAGGUGCUGCAUGGCUGUCGUCAGCUCGUGUUGUGAAAUGUUGGGUUAAGUCCCGCAACGAGCGCAACCCUUAUCCUUUGUUGCCAGCGGUCCGGCCGGGAACUCAAAGGAGGCUGCCAGUGAUAAACUGGAGGAAGGUGGGGAUGACGUCAAGUCAUCAUGGCCCUUACGACCAGGGCUACACACGUGCUACAAUGGCGCAUACAAAGAGAAGCGACCUCGCGAGAGCAAGCGGACCUCAUAAAGUGCGUCGUAGUCCGGAUUGGAGUCUGCAACUCGACUCCAUGAAGUCGGAAUCGCUAGUAAUCGUGGAUCAGA